GUUAUAGAAAAAAUCAAUUAACCUUUCUAUUAGUGAACGGCUAGGUGCCAAACGGAGAGUAUCAGCUGGAACUAAAUCGAGCAAUUUUAUUAUUUGCUUACACUUAACAUUGGUCUCAAUGUCUCAUAGUAUCACCUUUUUAAUUCCACCUGUGACAUUGCCUUCAUCUCAUUUCCAGGGCAUGAAAGAGACGAGCUUAAUUUAUCCUUAACUGCAAUGACAUAAGUAGUGUUCGUCCUCCCCUCCUGCCACCGCCAUUCUACACCAUCCAAAGGCACCUUCAAUGUGGACAAAAGUAUAUCUCAGAGCAAUGUGAAAUCCUCCAUGGUUUGCCACCGGUUUGCUGGCCCUGCGCCAAAUGCACGCUGUGCAAACUUGACAAGACACUGCAAAUAAGUCAGUGACAAAGAUUCAAAUUAAUUGUUUCCGGUUUAUUAUAAUAACCUAUUCUGAUUAACCAGUUUUUCAUUAUCACAUCAAUUUUAUGUGCAAGUUGUUCUAUUUACCAUUGUAACAAAACAAUAUUUCAUUUUGUAUUGUAAUAACUUUCAUAACAGUGUGAGACAAGAGGCUGUUAAAAAUACUUCCUAUAGUAUUUCACGAGAAGAAUACUCCACUCCUCUAUUCACAAUAGAAUCCCUUGUGCCACCAGGUUUGAAAUUUUGGGCUUGGACAAUCUGGAACUGCACCGCCUGUAGUCUGAUCUAAGCAUAGUACACAAAAUUGUCGGCUACAACGUCUUACCUGUCAACAACUUCUUCAGCCUCAACCUCAAUAAUACACGGGCAAACAAUUGAUACAAACUCAAGGUAAACCGCUCUGAACUCGAUUGCAGAAAAUACGACUUCAGCAACAGUGGUCAACGCCUGGAAUGCUCUACCCAACUCCGUUGUUACAUCCUCAAGCCCUCACAGCUUCAGCUUUAAACUGUCUAUCAUUGACCUCACCCCAUUCCUAAGAGGUCCGUAAAGGGGGCAUGCAUAAGUGUACCAUCAUGCCUACUGUCCCCAUCCUACUCUCCCCAUUUAUUUGUAUUCAUUUCUUUUGUUCCUAUCCAUGUUCAUAUUCAUACAUGCUAUCUUGUAUAUGCUUGACAAACUAAUAAAUUAA